CUCUACACAAGGGGGCCCAUUUUGGUGAAGGAGAAGGUCCCAUCUGGUAUAAAGACUUCCACUGUGAAGGAGAGGAAUCCUUCCUCCAUGAAUGUCUCAUGUCAGAUAGAUCAGAAAGAAACUUUACACAUGGCCAUGCUGUGGAACUGAUCUGUACAGGUCAUCAUGAUGUGAGGAUUGUGGAUGGAGCCAGUCCGUGUGCUGGAUCAGCGCAGGUGUAUCAGUGGGGGAAGUGGUGGACAUCAGCACCGUAUUUAACUGAACUGAAAGACCUUAAAAAUGCUCUCGCGGUGGUCGGGAGAGAAACGGGCUGUGGACCAUUACAAUCUGUUGGAGGACCUGAACAUUUUUCUUAUUUGCAAACCAGCAUAUUGAUAAGUGAACAUUUCUGUAACGGAUUGGAAUCUAAAGUGAGCAAUUGUGAAAAUAAUUACUUUAUUGAAGCUGAGACACUUCCUAAAGAAAUCCUUCAGUUCACUUAUACAGGCCAUCGAGGGGUUCGGCUGAUAGGAGGGAGUCACAUGUGCUCUGGGAGAGUGGAGAUUCAGCACGGAAGAACCUGGGGCUCAGUGUGUGACGCUGACUUUGACUGGCAGGACGCUGAGGUGGUCUGUAGAUCACUAGGCUGUGGGGAACCUGCACAGCUGCUGGGGGGAGCUGCCUUUGGUCAGGGAGAGGGAGGGGUGUGGUCUGAGGAGUUUCAGUGUCAGGGAAACGAGUCUCAUCUUGUUUUCUGUCCCAAAAUGACACAUAACAGGACCUGCGGCCAUGAGAAUGAUGUGGGCCUGGUGUG